CUCUCUCAGGCUGUUUCCUCAACUAUAAAUAGCAAAGCACAUAGUAGCUACUUAUUACUUAGGUAGCUGUGUGUCAAGUCACUUCAGUUGUGUCUGACUCUUUGAGACCCUAUGGACUAUCGCCUGCCAAGCUCCUCUGUCCAUGGGAUUCUCCAGUGACCUGGGCAUGAAGCCAACACUAAAGGAUGCGGAGCAAAAAACAAUGGAAAUUCACCUUGAUGACAUCAUUGGGGUCCUUAAAUCCUGCCUACCUGGAGCUCCAGCCUGGGCUUUCCAGUCCAGUCGAUCUCCUUUUUGUGUGAUCCAGUUUGCGAGCAACCAAAGGAGUCAGCUGAUACAGACAUAGACGUGAGGGUGGUGCGCCCCUCACAUGGGCUGCAUGCCUUUUAUUUCUCAGGCCUCACUUGAUUUUGUGGUGCACAGAAUCAGGCCUGGUUCCCUGUACUAGGGGCUCUGAUGGAGUCCAGACUCUUAUUUCAGAGAGUUUUUGUUCUGAUGUGCUAUGUCGCUUUAGUCGUGUCCAACUCUUUGCCUAUGGACCCUGUGGACGGUAGCCUGCCAGCCUCCUCUGUCCAUGGGAUUUCCCAGGCAAGAAUACUGGAAUGGGGUGCCAUUUCCUCCUCCAGGGGGUCUUCCUGACCCAGGGAGCGAAUCCACAUCUCUUAUGUCUCCUUCGUUGGCAGGUUGGUACCUUUUAAUUAUGGGCUUUUGCAAGCCCCUCUGCAAAAAGUGCUUUCUGCUCUAUGAGAAUUUAGGGCCCAUCCUCAAUGAUGUUCCUAUUUUCAAUGAUCCAGAUUCCGAUACCUAUCUUCACAUGUUGCCUCUAGAGAGCUAAUGAGCAGGCAGUACUGGAGCAGGGAGAUCCCACUGUGCUGGACAUGUGUCUCCGUGCUCCUCAUCCCACCCCACUGUUCGGAGUUCCCCACUGGUCUGCCCUUCAAGUGAUGCAGAGCUGAGACCUGAAAACAGAUUUCUCCAAACGGAAGGUUAAACUGUGAGGGGAAAGGCAGGUGUUCUGCAAGGUGAGUGAGGGAGAGCUGCAGUGUUGGGGAGUCUUCCCAGAGGAAGCAGAGCAGGAGGCAGCUGGGAAAUGGGCAACACAGCACGGAAAGGGAAGGGAUUUGGCACAGCAUAGGGCAUGGAGACAGGAACGUGGGUAGGAUUUUGAGCAACCAUGCAGAGAGAGGCUCUAGAGAAUCCAGUAGAGUCCACCUCCCGCCUCUCUCACUGCCCCAUUCCCACAUUCCCUGCAGGGUUAGGUCCCACUCCCUCUCACCUGGACAGCUGCUCUAGACACCUCAGGGGACUCCCUGCCUCCUGUCUGGUCUUCUAGCCCAUACUCUAUCAGCAGCAAUCCAUUCACCCAUCUGACCAUUCAUGCAUUCAUUCACUCAUCAAAUAUUCCCGAGGGGCAGAGUCUGUGUCAUGUAGGGCCUUGUGGCUGGAGCUUCUCCACCUGGCUGACCUUGUCUCUCUUCUCAGGCAUUCUGGGUGGGAUGGUCCCAUCCCCCACCCCGAGGUUGCAUUUCCUCCCAACAUUUAUUACAAGACACCAGAUGUCUGGACUAUAAGUUUCUGGGAAAUAUUCUUACAAGGUACAAAAGCGGGAUCCUGAGGUUAGUACCGCAGCUACAGCAUUCUCCAGUCACAUAAUUCCAGGAAUGAUCUUCAUCUCACUGAGCCUCAAUUUCCACACCCGUAAAGUGGGGAUAAUAGCAUCCCCCUUCAAGGAUGAAGUGAGGGAAUCCACAGAACAUACACAGGGAGGCUCUUUGAGAGGUGGAGUGCACCUGGUCAGUGGGAUCCCCAGUAUUUCGCUCAUUCUUAGAUAAUGAUGGGCAGGUGGAGUGGAUCCUGGGACCUCCACCUGGAUCCCUUCGGCCACCCAUUCUGGCUGAUGGGAAUCAGCUCCUGAUGACUCGCAGCUGGGAACUGCCCUGCCCACCUUUUCCUGGGGCAGCCCCUGGCAAUGUGUAAUACAAAUAUUCGAUUCUUCCCUUAGCUGGGGGGCAACUCUGAAGGGGUCAUCUCUGCGCCAGAGCUCCUUGUGGGAUCAGUUGAAAUUUUUAUCACUGCCACCAUGCAUCAGAUUUUCUGUCACCCAGUCCUGUCUUCCUUGCUGUCUCAAGGUAGUAAGUAUCCUGAGAGCUCUCGUGAAUAAACCCUUGCACACUGAUACUCACCUCGGGAACCAGUGGAAAGUGCAGCUGUGGCAGGGGUUCCUAGGCAGGAACCUGGGAGGGUGGGAGAUAGAAGGGAAGGCCAGAAGAGGAGGGUGGGCCCCUGGCCAGGGCAAAGCCAGAUGGUCCAGUUCUGGGUCUCUAGAAUGUUCUAACCUUCUGCCCUGUCUUCAUGGCCCACUUUGUUCCUUGGUGAUUGAUCACAGCGGUUGGGGUGUGGGCUUUGGGGCCCUGCCUUGAGUCUGAGUCCCAAUUCUGUUUCUGACCCUCUGUGGGAUUUGGGGAAAGUCCUUUCACCUCUUCAGGCCUCAGUGGUGCCAACUGUAUAGUGGGACUGGAGGGGGAGAAUCAACAAGGGACACUACGGAGCUCUUAGCACAGUGCCUGGGAAACAGGGAGCAUAAAUGCUAUGUCUUAUGCAAUCCCUCCUAAAGUAGUUCACAAAUCAGCCUGCCUGGGCAAGGUCACCAUUUUCACAUUCCCCUCUAAGGCUUUCUUCUCUGCAACUUCCAUAACUGACAAGUUUCCCAAGACUUUCCAGAAAUCACAGAAGGUUUGUCCAUUUGGGAAGUUUCAUUCUAUGCCCUUUUGUUCCAUAAUAGCUGAUAGAAUAUCCAAUGAGAAUGGCUCAUUGGAACUGAGAUGUUACUGUGUGCCAGGCAGGGCUCUAAGAGCUCUGUAGGAAUUGAACUUUCAUAGCCACCUUGUGACAUGGGUAUUACAUUAAAAGAUAAAGAUACUGAGGCUCAGGGAGGUUAAGUAAUGGGAUCACAUAGCAAGCAAGUGGAGGCCUGGGUAAUGGCUAAGAUGAAGCCAGACUGGACUGGAUUAGAAUCCAUGGUCUCUGGCUCCGACCUUUAUUAGUGGUGUGUUCUUGGGUAAAUUAAAUUUGCUCUGCCCCAGUUUCUUUAUUUAUCAAAUAAAGAUGAUAACAUCCCUAUUUCACUGAUCUUUGAGAUUAAAUAAGAUAAUACCUAUAUAGUGCGUGGUCCAUAUUAUACAUGUAUUAUUUUUAUUCACCCUACACCAUAUGCUGACCACCUACCAUGGGAUAGGUACUGUUUUAGGUGCUUGGGGAAGAGCAGUGAAUAAACAGACACAGCUCCUGCCCCAUAGUGUAGACGUUCUGGAAGUGAGUGUUAGUCGCUCAGUCAUGACUGACUCUUUACACCCCCAUGGACUGUACCCCUCCAGGCUCCUCUGUCCUCAAGAUUUACCCAGGCAAGAAUACCAGAGUGGAUUGCCAUCUCCUUCUCUAGGGGAUCUUCCCAACUCCAGGGAUCGAACCUGGGGCAUUAUAGGCAGAUGCUUUACCAACUGAGCCACGAGGGAAGCUGUAGCAAAGGCCUAGAGGUUUGUAUUCAAGCCCCAGCGCAUCCAAGCCAUAGCUGAUCUUUCCAGGCAGUCUGAUCUCUCUUUCCUCCCACUUGAUUAAUGCCGAGAGGCAAACAGGUAACACUUAAUACUUUAACACACACCAUCCAGCAUUGGUUACUGAUGUUUCCAGCAAUCUGUGUUGCACUGGGCUUCAGGCCUGGGUGACGUGGGUGAGUGCCAGGGCAUCGGCGGGCAACUGGUUUCACCACUUACUUACUUAAUUUGCUUGUUUGUUCAUUCAUAAUGAACUUAUUUGCUGAACAAGUAUUUCUCAAGCCCCAUCCCAGGUGCUAGGUCAGGUACUGGGAUUCACCAUCAGGAUGGGCUUCCUGGACUGGAGGUGCUCAUGGUCUCAUGGGGAGAACAGAUGAGAACAAUCCAUGCCAUCAAAUAAAGAGUGUGAAAGGAAACUGCUGGGAGGUGUCAAGUGGGAAAAUGAGAAGAUCCUUUGGCUACCAGGAGCCAUGGAGAAGCUGGAGGCCACACGCUCCAGGCAAGUGCUCUAGGCAUCUAGGCAAGAGAUCCUGGACACGGUCUGGUUUCCCCAGACCUGAUGCGUUAAUCACUGCGUUUGCAAACACCUUGCGAUGGGAACUCAUUACCUUGGAACAUAAUCCCUUUCAUUUUUGGAUAGCUUGAGCUGAAGGAACAUGGUCCCUUCGACCAGUGAUUCUCAAACAAUGAGAUGGUCUUGAGAUCCCUUUAUACCCUUAAAAACUGAGGACCCCAAAAGAGCGUGGAUUAUUCAUAUGGAUUAUAUCUAGAGCCAGGACAAGGGGUAGUCAAAUGAGUAUAAACUUUAAGGGAUGCUAAAAAUCUCAGUAAUCACGAUAAAUAUUUUAAUGCAAUAAUUUGAAAAAUUCAUAUUG
ensembl:lncRNA